CGGCGAGUUAUAUACGGUCGCGUUCAACUUACAACCCAAAUGGAACCGGUUACAUAUAUUAAGUGGGGAUGCCGUUCGCUGUUCGGUAAAUCGUCGCCUUAUCUGGUCAGUCAACCAUUGUACGGUCUAGUUGAUUAGACCCAUCGGCGCCGCCACGAGUUUUUCCGCGACUUUGCGGUAUCGUAACGUAAAUGUGAAUUCGGUGGAUUUCCGUGCGUGUGAUCAAUAUAAUUGAGUUCGUGUUUUGUUUCAUUCAAACGGUUGAAGUUGGUUGAGUAUAACAGUUAUAAUCCGAUCAUUAAUAUUCUGUCCAGGUCAGAUUAUUGAAUUCUACAACACUUAAAAUCUUAUACUUGUACUCAUUUUAUUGCAGUGUACUAUUUAGUUGUUAUUAUUAAUUUACAGGCAAGUGGAUUGCGCAACGCGGAAGAAUUUAUAUUUGUGCGUUAUUGUAAAAAUGAACGUCGUUAAUCACUACUCUGCUCUCCGCCUUUGAUAAAUUUACUGACAUUAAGACUCUUACUGAAACUGUAGAAAAAUAUCAGGGCAUGUAUAUAGAAGCAAAAAAUAAAAAUAAUGAACAUGAAAUUGAUAGAAUUAAUACAGAAUUGGGACGAAUACUUGCUGCAGAAAAUACAAAUAACGAAGAGUUGGUUAAAAGUCUAAAAAAAUUCGUAGAAAUGUUUCAUGGAAAUUUAUAACAUUAUAGUUUAAUAACUCUAUGUUGUAGAAUUGUGUGAUGCGACUGCGAUGUCUAUUAUAAUAGGAAUCAAAAAAGUUUAAAAAUAUUAAUGAUAUAAAUAUAUACUA